UACGUAGGUGGCUAGCGUUGUCCGGAUUUACUGGGCGUAAAGAGCGCGCAGGCGGUCGUACAAGUCGCGUGUGAAAGCCCCCGGCUCAACUGGGGAGGGUCACGCGAUACUGUUCGACUCGAAGGCAGGAGAGGGAAGCGGAAUUCCCGGUGUAGUGGUGAAAUGCGUAGAUAUCGGGAGGAACACCAGUGGCGAAGGCGGCUUCCUGGCCUGUUCUUGACGCUGAGGCGCGAAAGCUAGGGUAGCAAACGGG
rnacentral:rRNA from 1 species